CAGUAGCCGCGGGAACACGAAGGGUGCAAGCGUUACUCGGAAUUACUGGGCGUAAAGCGUGCGUAGGUGGUGGUUUAAGUCCGUUGUGAAAGCCCUGGGCUCAACCUGGGAAUUGCAGUGGAUACUGGGUCACUAGAGUGUGGUAGAGGAUAGUGGAAUUUCCGGUGUAGCAGUGAAGUGCGUAGAGAUCGGAAGGAACAUCUGUGGCGAAGGCGACUAUCUGGGCCAACACUGACACUGAGGCACGAAAGCGUGGGGAGCAAACAGGAUUAGAUACCCCGGUAGUCCCUGUCUCUUAUAC
rnacentral:rRNA from 1 species